rnacentral:tRNA from 1 species
GCAGCUGUGGCCUACUGGUUAGUGUUUCGGCCUUGUAACCGAAGGGUUGCCGGUUCGAACCCUGACCAGUAGGA